AUACGGAGGGUGCAAGCGUUAAUCGGAAUUACUGGGCGUAAAGCGUACGUAGGCGGUUCGUUAAGGUAGAUGUGAAAGCCCCGGGCUUAACCUGGGAACUGCAUUUAAAACUGGCGAACUAGAGUUGAGUAGAGGGGAGUGGAAUUUCAGGUGUAGCGGUGAAAUGCGUAGAGAUCUGAAGGAACACCAGUGGAGAAGGCGACUCCCUGGACUCGAACUGACGCUGAGGUACGAAAGCGUGGGUAGCAAACGGGAUUAGAAACCCUAGUAGUCC
rnacentral:rRNA from 1 species